UUAAAAAAAGGCUUGUAAAAAUUGAAAUUUUUUUACAAAAUUUAAAUCCAUACUUUGCAUCGUCAUGAGCAGGAAUCAUCCCACACACAUUGGGGCCAUGGUUACAAGUCAGGCAAGUUUACUCCCACACUACCAGAAACUAUUACGUAAUAAAUCUUUUUUUACAAAUGGCCUCAUGGUCGUCGUUUUUUACAAGCCUUACUUAACAGUCAUUUUUUCUGAAAAAAAAAAGGCUUAUUCAUGGUUACUUUUUUCUGAAAAAGAAAAAAUAAAUAUCCUUACUAUUGUUGGAAAAUUCCAACACAAUAAAUGGUCAUUUUUUUUAGAAAAAAAGCCUACAGCCUUUUUAAUCAUAAAAACAACAAUGUAUAAUGAAGCUUUCUCAACUUAAAGUAGACAUAUCAUGCUUAUAAAUCCUUCCUUUUUACAGUUUACUCAUCCGGUUGUGGAUACUUCACACCCCGCUCCCUGGAGGCCGCAAGAUGUGUACCUGCUCUUCCGGUCGGACAUAUUUGUAGUUUGUUAGCAGCGGUCCAGUUUACUUGCAGCACACACUUUGAUUGCUAGAUGUCAACAGCAAAAGACGUCCAUCCAACCAUACAUAACACGUAAGAAAAUAAAUCCCUUCACAAUAUUUAUGAACAUGUCUUGUAAACAAGCACUACAGUCAAGAAGUAAGCUAAUGCUAGUGCUAGCAAGAAGCUAACAAAUACAUUUAACACAUGUUCCCCAAGAAUGAAAUAGCACCUUCCAUGCAAUUCAUCUGAUACAACUACUCAAAAUAUAUCCACAAGUGUAAACAUAGAUUGCACAACGCUAAGAUCAAAUUAAACACCUUUGAUGCAAUUCAUCCGAUACAACUACUCAAAAUAAAACCACAAGUGAAAACGUAGAUCGCACAGCGCUAAAAUCAGCAGAAAAACUAAUACUAAUGCUAUGAAAACGAUGGCAUCAUAGACACGCAAUAAUAUAAAAGUGAAAUACAGCUUAUUAUUUUUGUGUCAUCUAAAACUUACUGCUUUCCUGUGUCCGUUGCCGUCAGUCUUUCGGCAAAUCCUUCUCUUUACUGAUGAGAUUUCUGAAACACUUGAAGUGAUUCAUACAGAGAGGCAGUUAGUUGCCCACAGAUGUGAGAACUUCGUCCUGGGAAAAAAUGAAAGAUGAAUGCAUCCAACAAUGGAACAUUUUGAGCUCUCCACUUGUACCUUCAGCAUCCUUGAGUUUGGACUACUAAAGUAAUUAAGAUGGUUAAAAAGUUAAAAAAUACAUAAUAGAAAUUUGAUCAAAUUGAAAGGAGUAAAUAAUAUCCCAAAACAUAUAAAAGUAUCUCUACAGCACUUGGAGGGAUUAGUUAAAAAAUUUCUACAAUUCUGAAGACUCCAAGUGAAAAAUAAAUUGCAUAUAAAAGCUAAAGAAAAGUGGAUUUUGAAUAUGUCUCCUUUAAGAAAAACAGUAUUAGGUUAUCUUGGAAGUUUGGUUGCUGUGCGUGGCAUAAUUUACAAUAAUUUAGGGGUCGUCUUCUAACCAAAACAGAUGUUUUAUGUGGCCUGUGGAUUGACAGGGGUCAAGUCUACACGCAAACAUAAAAAAACAAGACACAAAACAUGUGAAUUUAACAUUUUAUUGGAAACUAAAAUUGUGACAUUGGAAGAUUUUUUUUUGAAUUCUAUAACAUUGUUUGGAAUCUUUCAUGCUUAAACAAAUGGCAACCAACCAUUCUGUUCAAUGCAAAACAAAUGUAACGACUCCUUUAAAGACAAAUGUCGACGUGAAAGAAAUUUGAGACAGGUUUUGCAGCCUUGCGUUUAAGGAGAGUAUGUCGACUGGGUAAGCUACAAGAAAAAAAAUACAAAAUUGAGGAAACGACAAUAGAUAUGACGUUUGUAUCACUCAAGGGAAAAAAAAAAAAAAAAAAAAACAUUACGAAGUAUGGUCAAAUUUGGAA